AAUACUUAGGAAUCUGCCCAUUAAUGGGGGACAACAGUUGGAAACGACUGCUAAUACCGCAUACGCCCUACGGGGGAAAGCAGGGGAUCUUCGGACCUUGCGUUAAUGGAUGAGCCUAAGUCGGAUUAGCUAGUUGGUGGGGUAAAGGCCUACCAAGGCGACGAUCUGUAGCGGGUCUGAGAGGAUGAUCCGCCACACUGGGACUGAGACACGGCCCAGACUCCUACGGGAGGCAGCAGUGGGGAAUAUUGGACAAUGGGGGGAACCCUGAUCCAGCCAUGCCGCGUGUGUGAAGAAGGCCUUUUGGUUGUAAAGCACUUUAAGCGAGGAGGAGGCUACUAGUAUUAAUACUACUGGAUAGUGGACGUUACCCGCAGAAUAAGCACCGGCUAACUCUGUGCCAGCAGCCGCGGUAAUACAGAGGGUGCGAGCGUUAAUCGGAUUUACUGGGCGUAAAGCGUACGUAGGUGGUCUUUUAAGUCGGAUGUGAAAUCCCUGAGCUUAACUUAGGAAUUGCAUUCGAUACUGGGAGACUAGAGUAUGGGAGAGGAUGGUAGAAUUCCAGGUGUAGCGGUGAAAUGCGUAGAGAUCUGGAGG
rnacentral:rRNA from 1 species